rnacentral:rRNA from 1 species
AAACCAGCACCUCAAGUGGUCAGGAGGAUUAUUGGGCCUAAAGCAUCCGUAGCCUGUUCUGUAAGUUUUCGGUUAAAUCCAUUAGCUCAACUAAUGGGCCGCCGAAAAUACUGUAGAACUAGGGAGUGGGAGAGGUAGACGGUAUUCGGUAGGAAGGGGUAAAAUCCUUUGAUCUAUUGAGGACCACCUGUGGCGAAGGCGGUCUACCAGAACACGUUCGACGGUGAGGGAUGAAAGCUGGGGGAGCAAACCGGAUUAGAUACCCUAGUAGUCC